AUUUUAUGGUUUGGGCAUUGAUUCAACUUCUUUUUAAACCCUACCCAAGUUUCAUGUAAGGCUUCAUUAGCCAAUUGCCUAAAGUUGCUGACCUCAUCCCUUAACU